rnacentral:rRNA from 1 species
UACGUAGGGGCCUAGCGUUGUCCGGAUUUAUUGGGCGUAAAGAGCUCGUAGGCGGCUUGGUAAGUCAGGUGUGAAAUCUCCACGCUCAACGUGGAGGGGCCACCCGAAACUGCCAUGGCUUGAGUCCGGUAGGGGAGUGUGGAAUUCCCGGUGUAGCGGUGAAAUGCGCAGAUAUCGGGAGGAACACCCGUAGCGAAGGCGGCACUCUGGGCCGGUACUGACGCUGAGGAGCGAAAGCGUGGGUAGCAAACAGG